UACGUAGGGUGCAAGCGUUGUCCGGAAUUAUUGGGCGUAAAGAGCUCGUAGGCGGUUUGUCGCGUCUGCUGUGAAAACGCGAGGCUCAACCUCGCGCCUGCAGUGGGUACGGGCAGACUAGAGUGCGGUAGGGGAGAUUGGAAUUCCUGGUGUAGCGGUGGAAUGCGCAGAUAUCAGGAGGAACACCGAUGGCGAAGGCAGGUCUCUGGGCCGAUACUGACGCUGAGGAGCGAAAGCGUGGGGAACGAACAGG
rnacentral:rRNA from 1 species